rnacentral:rRNA from 1 species
AAGCCGACGAUCUGUAGCUGGUCUGAGAGGACGACCAGCCACACUGGGACUGAGACACGGCCCAGACUCCUACGGGAGGCAGCAGUGGGGAAUUUUGGACAAUGGACGCAAGCUGAUCCAGCAAUGCCGCGUGCAGGACGAAGGCCUUCGGGUUGUAAACUGCUUUUGUACAGAACGAAAAGGCUCUGGUUAAUACCUGGGGCUCAUGACGGUACUGUAAGAAUAAGCACCGGCUAACUACGUGCCAGCAGCCGCGGUAAUACGUAGGGUGCGAGCGUUAAUCGGAAUUACUGGGCGUAAAGCGUGCGCAGGCGGUUUUGUAAGACCGAUGUGAAAUCCCCGGGCUCAACCUGGGAACUGCAUUGGUGACUGCAAGGCUGGAGUGCGGCAGAGGGGAUGGAAUUCCGCGUGUAGCAGUGAAAUGCGUAGAUAUGCGGAGGAACGACCGAUGGCG